rnacentral:rRNA from 1 species
AAAUAGAACUUUGCAGAGAGAGUUAACAGGGCGUGAAACCGUUAAUUGGCAAACGAAUCGGAGCCACGAAGUCGUUUCGCAGUUGAGUCGGGCGCUGGUUCAGCGUGCCUCGCAAGGGGUGCGUGUAUUCCGGUGCUGGCCAGCUUUGUAAGCGUACACUGCAACUAGUUAGACGACUGGCCAUGGGCACAGUCUUGCUCGAGUUAGUAGUAGCGCGCUUGACUUCGGUCUCGUCGUGUUGCUUGGCUCGUGGCAAGUGAGCUAUGGCCAGAUACUGACUAGCGAAAUGAAAAUCGACGCCUAGCGUCGUUAGAGACAACGCUCGCAACUGGAUGUGUGUCUACGCCAACGACUGCUGGGUUUAAGCUCGGCGCUCUUCAAUUUAGACUUGCUUGCUACCAGUGGGGCAACUCCUGGUGCUUGUAUAGCUUCUAUCUAAUGGGGCGUUGACUUGAUCUAGUACGCUCGCGGGCGGACUGAUUGGAUGCGCAUGCAAGCUGUUGAGCAGUUUGAAUUGGCAGUGAGUAGGUCGGCUUUCCGAACGACCCGUCUUGAAACACGGACCAAGGAGUCUAAUUGGGCAUCGAGUCGAUCGGUCUUGACUAGGCCAGACUGGGGGGUUCCCCCCGAUGGAAGGCGCAGAGAAAUCGUGUGAUCGUUGGGCAACAACAGCCUGGCCGCGCAACAUGUGCGUGCUCAAACGCUGUGUGCAAGACAGUAGGGCGCAGCAAAGAGAUGCCCGAUUGGGACCCGAAAGAUGGUGAGCUUGGGCAAAUUGAAGCCAGAGGAAACUCUGGUGGAGGAUUGUAGCGAUUCUGACGUGCAAAUCGAUCGUCAGACCUGAGUAUAGGGGCGAAAGACUAAUCGAACCAUC